rnacentral:lncRNA from 1 species
AGGGUGAGGCUGCCUUGGCCACAGAUGGUGGUGGCGUAUGGUUCUGAGGAAUGAAGAAGCAGAGAUCAUGCAAGGUGUUUCCAUCCAAAAGUAGGCAUCUCAUGUCAUCUGCUCUGGCCAGUAUUUAACCUUGAGAAAAGAAGAAGUGUAGAGAUGAUGUACUUGCCUGAGGGAUGGAUUAAAAAGUCUUUGGUCUUCUCUGAACGGUACUACUGAAUUUAUCCUCAUCACCGUCAUCAUUGUCAUUGUCAUCAUCAUCAUGAAAACAGGAGCAGAGAGAGGAAUGCUAUGAAGCUAUUAUUGUUCAAAAAAGACCUGGAGACAGCGGAUUGAAAAUCUCACAGCCAAAACGCAAUCUGGUGACUACCUUCUCUGGCUCUCAUUUGCUGACUUUGGAAGUUUGAAAAGAAGUCUGGUGAAGGGAAGCAAGGUGUGGAAAAACAUGAGAAGAAAGCUCUUGUAGAAGGCCUGUCUCCACAAGGACCUCACCUGUACAUAGGAAAGAUGGACAAGAGCCGGGAACCACAAAAUCUCAGAGUUGGAGAGCCUGUCAAGUCUGUCCAUUGCUAUCUCUCACAGAUGCGAGCCGGCACUGCACCACCAGGCUGAAGGACCAUCUUUUUUCCUUUCUAAUUAAAGAAUCGUGUUUCCUUUU